UCCGGAGCUAACGCGUUAAAUCGACCGCCUGGGGAGUACGGCCGCAAGGUUAAAACUCAAAUGAAUUGACGGGGGCCCGCACAAGCGGUGGAGCAUGUGGUUUAAUUCGAUGCAACGCGAAGAACCUUACCUGGUCUUGACAUCCACAGAACUUAGCAGAGAUGCUUUGGUGCCUUCGGGAACUGUGAGACAGGUGCUGCAUGGCUGUCGUCAGCUCGUGUUGUGAAAUGUUGGGUUAAGUCCCGCAACGAGCGCAACCCUUAUCCUUUGUUGCCAGCGGUCCGGCCGGGAACUCAAAGGAGACUGCCAGUGAUAAACUG
rnacentral:rRNA from 1 species